rnacentral:rRNA from 1 species
AGGCCUAACACAUGCAAGUCGAGCGGUAGCACAGAGAGCUUGCUCUCGGGUGACGAGCGGCGGACGGGUGAGUAAUGUCUGGGAAACUGCCUGAUGGAGGGGGAUAACUACUGGAAACGGUAGCUAAUACCGCAUAACGUCGCAAGACCAAAGUGGGGGACCUUCGGGCCUCAUGCCAUCAGAUGUGCCCAGAUGGGAUUAGCUAGUAGGUGGGGUAAUGGCUCACCUAGGCGACGAUCCCUAGCUGGUCUGAGAGGAUGACCAGCCACACUGGAACUGAGACACGGUCCAGACUCCUACGGGAGGCAGCAGUGGGGAAUAUUGCACAAUGGGCGCAAGCCUGAUGCAGCCAUGCCGCGUGUAUGAAGAAGGCCUUCGGGUUGUAAAGUACUUUCAGCGAGGAGGAAGGCGUUAAGGUUAAUAACCUUAGCGAUUGACGUUACUCGCAGAAGAAGCACCGGCUAACUCCGUGCCAGCAGCCGCGGUAAUACGGAGGGUGCAAGCGUUAAUCGGAAUUACUGGGCGUAAAGCGCACGCAGGCGGUCUGUCAAGUCGGAUGUGAAAUCCCCGGGCUCAACCUGGGAACUGCAUUCGAAACUGGCAGGCUAGAGUCUUGUAGAGGGGGGUAGAAUUCCAGGUGUAGCGGUGAAAUGCGUAGAGAUCUGGAGGAAUACCGGUGGCGAAGGCGGCCCCCUGGAC